rnacentral:snoRNA from 1 species
ACCCUCCAGUUCCCUUUCUUGUUGGAUCCGAACACUGGUCUUGCGGGGUCGUAAGGGAGGAAAAGGAAUGCUGAAUGGCUUCACAGCCUUAUUGUCUGGUAUAUAGCAUGUGGGCUAGUUUCAAACGGGG